rnacentral:rRNA from 1 species
CCUACGGGGGGCAGCAGUGGGGAAUAUUGCACAAUGGGGAAAACCCUGAUGCAGCGACGCCGCGUGAAGGAAGAAGUAUUUCGGUAUGUAAACUUCUAUCAGCAGGGAAGAAAAGGAAGGUACCUGACUAAGAAUCCCAGGCUAACGACGUGCCAGCAGCCGCGGUAAUACGUAGGGGGAAAGCGUAAUCCGGCUUUACUGGGUGUAAAGGGAGCGUAUGCGGUUUAGCAAGUCAGAAGUGAACGCCCGGGGCUCAACUCCGGGACUGCUUGUGAAACGGGUGAACUAGAUUGCAGGAGAGGUAAGUGGAAUGACUAGUGUAGCGGUGAAAUGCGUAGAUAUUAGGAGGAACACCAGUGGCGAAGGCGGCUUACUGGACUGUAAAUGACGCUGAGGCUCGAAAGCGUGGGGAGCAAACAGGAUUAGAUACCCCAGUAGUC